rnacentral:rRNA from 1 species
GACGAACGCUGGCGGCGUGCUUAACACAUGCAAGUCGAACGGAAAGGCCCUGCUUUUGUGGGGUGCUCGAGUGGCGAACGGGUGAGUAACACGUGAGUAACCUGCCCUUGACUGUGGGGUAACUUCAGGAAACUGAGGCUAAUACCGGAUAGGAGCUCCUGCUGCAUGGUGGGGGUUGGAAAGUUUCGGCGGUUGGGGAUGGACUCGCGGCUUAUCAGCUUGUUGGUGGGGUAGUGGCUUACCAAGGCUUUGACGGGUAGCCGGCCUGAGAGGGUGACCGGCCACAUUGGGCCUGCGAUAGGGCCCAGACUCCUACGGGAGGCAGCAGUGGGGAAUAUUGCACAAUGGGCGGACGCCUGAUGCAGCAACGCCGCGUGCGGGAUGCCGGCCUUCGGGUUGUAAACCGCUUUCGCCUGUGACGAAGCGUGAGUGACGGUAAUGGGUAAAGAAGCACCGGCUAACUACGUG